rnacentral:rRNA from 1 species
GAUGAACGCUGGCGGCGUGCCUAAUACAUGCAAGUCGAGCGAACAGACGAGGAGCUUGCUCCUCUGACGUUAGCGGCGGACGGGUGAGUAACACGUGGAUAACCUACCUAUAAGACUGGGAUAACUUCGGGAAACCGCAGCUAAUACCGGAUAAUAUAUUGAACCGCAUGGUUCAAUAGUGAAAGACGGUUUUGCUGUCACUUAUAGAUGGAUCCGCGCCGCAUUAGCUAGUUGGUAAGGUAACGGCUUACCAAGGCGACGAUGCGUAGCCGACCUGAGAGGGUGAUCGGCCACACUGGAACUGAGACACGGUCCAGACUCCUACGGGAGGCAGCAGUAGGGAAUCUUCCGCAAUGGGCGAAAGCCUGACGGAGCAACGCCGCGUGAGUGAUGAAGGUCUUCGGAUCGUAAAACUCUGUUAUUAGGGAAGAACAAAUGUGUAAGUAACUAUGCACGUCUUGACGGUACCUAAUCAGAAAGCCACGGCUAACUACGUG